rnacentral:lncRNA from 1 species
CUUUCUUUCUUACUUCCAUCUUUCCUCCAUCCCCCCCCCUCCCUCCUUCCUUUCCAGCACAGGGAGGGGGGGCGGGGAGCGCUGCUGGAGCACUCCUGGCCUAAAAUCACUGGGGGCCAACUUAAGGGAAAACUGGAAGGCAAAAGUCUUACUAGAGUCCUUGGGGAAAGAUCGGGGUUUUUCCACCUGACUCUGGCCAAAGGGCCCAAAGGCUUCAGUGUUAGAGGUGGGGGUGGGGCAGCCCUGGCCUGCAGGGAGAGGCCCUGAAAACCUGCCAGAGGGCACUCUGAGAAAAAAAGGGGGGGGGGGGCUUUUCCAAGAAAUCCUUCCCCUUUCUUUAUAAAAAAUCACUGCUGUCUCUUGAAAAGGUCCCUGCUGGAUGCCACCCCACCAGGAAGACCUCACCCUGCGUCCCCUCUCUGGGUUAGCCUGAGUAGCAGCAAUCAAAAGGCAAAACAGGCGAAAGUGACCCAGCUCAGUCUGGCAGAAAAUGCAGCACUGGGUCUCCAUAGCCCACCACCUCUCUGGUUCUCCUGGUGUUGCUCCUCUCACUCUGCAUCAGUUCCUGGAGGUCGUCCCAGUUCACAUGGAAUCCCUCCAGUUCAUCAUUCCUUUCAGCACAAUAGUAUUCUGUCACCAACAUGCACUGAAGAGCCAGCUCCCAAACCCCUUCUUUCCUCUCCCUGGCCCCCUAACCCCAGGAGUUCCUGUGCACUCCCUCUACCAUAAAAGUGUAUAAAAAGCCUGCAAGCCCCAAACUCAGAGCUCCAGCCAUUUUUAGAGUACUGAGCCCAAACUGCAGUUUGUUUAAUAAACUCCCUCCUGUGUGUUACA